UCCGUAGGUGAACCUGCGGAAGGAUCAUUAAUGAGUUUUUUAAAGUAAACUUGAUGCUGGUCGGUCUCUGGACUUGCAUGUGCUCAGUUUGCGCUCAUCCAUCUCACACCUGUGCACUUACUGAAGAGAGAGAGGGAGAGGGAGAGUGGUUUAUUCGUUUAUUCAUUUAUUCGUGUAUUCAACUCAAAGUCUUCAAUCUCUCUUUUGACUUUAUAAUAAACAACUAUAUUGUUUGUGUAGAAUGCAUUAGCCUCAUUGUAGGUGAAAUAACUAUACAACUUUCAACAACGGAUCUCUUGGCUCUCGCAUCGAUGAAGAACGCAGCGAAAUGCGAUAAGUAAUGUGAAUUGCAGAAUUCAGUGAAUCAUCGAAUCUUUGAACGCACCUUGCACUCCUUGGUAUUCCGAGGAGUAUGCCUGUUUGAGUGUCAUGUUAAUCUCAAUACAACAUUUUUUGUAACUAAAAAGUGUUAAUAUUGGACUUGGGGACUGCUGGCGUGAGUCGGCUUCUCUUGAAUGCAUUAGCUGGGCUUUUGCUCGAGUAAUUGGUGUAAUAGUUUCUAACAUUCACCGUUUACACUUGCUAAUAGAGUCUGCUUCUAAUCGUCUUGUAAUGAGACAAACACUUAACUUUGACCUUUGGCCUCAAAUCAGGUAGGACUACCCGCUGAACUUAAGCAUAUCAAUAAGCGGAGGAAAUCGUCGACUGAGCACGUCCA
rnacentral:rRNA from 1 species